UACGUAGGGUGCAAGCGUUGUCCGGAAUUAUUGGGCGUAAAGAGCUCGUAGGCGGUUUGUCGCGUCGAAUGUGAAAACCCGGGGCUCAACUCCGGGCCUGCAUUCGAUACGGGCAGACUAGAGUUCGGUAGGGGGGACUGGAAUUCCUGGUGUAGCGGUGAAAUGCGCAGAUAUCAGGAGGAACACCGGUGGCGAAGGCGGGUCUCUGGGCCGAUACUGACGCUGAGGAGCGAAAGCGUGGGGAGCGAACAGG
rnacentral:rRNA from 1 species